CAACACUGAGCUUUUAGACGAGGGAAUAAAGUUAGCCAGCAUCAAGGACGAACGAUAGAGAGUCCUUUGCGCGUUAAAAAGUGUGCUAACACAGAGUUGUCUGAAUGUUGAGUGUUGAAUAUCUGAUUAGUGGCGGACGGGUGAGUAACGCGUGGGGAACCUGCCCUAUACAGGGGGAUAGCCUCGGGAAACCGGGAUUAAUACCCCAUAAAACUCUAGUAUCGCAUGAUACGUGAGUCAAAGCUGAGGCGGUAUAGGAUGGCCCCGCGUCUGAUUAGCUAGUUGGUGAGGUAACGGCUCACCAAGGCGACGAUCAGUAGCCGGCCUGAGAGGGUGGACGGCCACACUGGAACUGAGACACGGUCCAGACUCCUACGGGAGGCAGCAGUGGGGAAUAUUGCACAAUGGGGGAAACCCUGAUGCAGCGACGCCGCGUGAGCGAAGAAGGCCUUCGGGUCGUAAAGCUCUGUCCUAAGGGAAGAAAAGGACGGUACCUUAGGAGGAAGCCCCGGCUAACUACGUG
rnacentral:rRNA from 1 species